rnacentral:rRNA from 1 species
GAUGAACGCUGGCGGCGUGCCUAACACAUGCAAGUCGAGCGGAGUUAGCGUCUUCGGGCACUAACUUAGCGGCGGACGGGUGAGUAACGCGUGGAUAAUCUGCCUAAGACAAAGGAAUAACAGUGAGAAAUCACUGCUAAUGCCUUAUAAGCUCACGAGAUGGCAUCAUCAUGUGAGAAAAGAUUUAUCGGUUUUAGAGGAGUCCGCGUUAGAUUAGCUAGUUGGUGGGGUAAAGGCCUACCAAGGCGACGAUCUAUAGCCGGCCUGAGAGGGUGAACGGACACAUUGGGACUGAGACACGGCCCAAACUCCUACGGGAGGCAGCAGUGGGGAAUAUUGCACAAUGGGCGAAAGCCUGAUGCAGCAACGCCGCGUGAGUGAAGAAGGCUUUCGAGUCGUAAAGCUCUAUCGACGGGGAAGAAAAAAAUGACGGUACCCGAGUAAGAAGCCCCGGCUAACUACGUGCCAGCCGCCGCAGUAA